GAUGGGUUUGGACGCAUCCCCUCAACUUCCUGACUAGGUACAGUGAAUGAGUAACUCAACCACGGUGUUGCUCACGGUUUCCUCAUCUAUAAAAUGAGAAUGACAAUGUUACCUGCUUAAUGGGGGGCGGUCAGUGAGGACUAACUGAUGUCCUGCACUGACAGGUGACCAAGUAGGACACUCAGGACUCUGACCACUCACAGGAAGAACUCAUGAAUGUCCACCAGCAUCCCCCUUGUCAUCAUCACUGCCCGUCUUAUCAUGGCCCGUGCUCCUCAUUCUAAUGAUUUCCUCUUUUCAACCUGUCUUCCUGAGCGCCCCAUGGUCCCCCUGGCAGCCACUGUGGCAUGCUCCCUACUGUUACCCUGCCUCCUAUGGCGAGGGGUCCAGAGGUGGUGCUAGGAGAUAUUUGGAAGCCCUGUUUCUCUGUAGAGUGAAAUGGAAGAGGGCCCAUCUUUGUGAGAUGUGCACGCCAAAAAGCCCCUCCAAAGAGCACCACUCUGGAAGCUAAGGUGCUUCUGAGACCCCAGAGCCUGCGACCUCAGUCCCGGCCUAGGUUGUAGCACUUCUCUCCCCUGGAGCCUCUUCACCUUGUGCUUAGCAUCCUUCCUAUGACAUUUACACAGCAGUUUUAUUAUUAUUAUUUAAAAAGAACCAGGGUAGUGCAAAUUUUUGUUCAAAGAAAUGCUGCUUGAAAUCUCUUUGAUAUUUGCCUCUAAGGUCAGGAGGCACACAUUUAUUCCUGGCAAUUUCCUUUUAAGCACAAGCUUAAAAUGCAAAAUAUAAGUUUUUAGAUGCAGUCACUUGUUUGAAAGGGAAAUCUCUCUUCUCAUCACUCUCUGCUGCCUUCCAGAAGACAAUGAUCUGUUAGGAAAACAACCCUAACCCUCCGUGUUUACUGAAGUGGUGAAAGGGUCUUCAGACAAUUAAUGAACUUCAGGCUUCCCUGGGCAGAGGACUGAGAUUGGUAUCUGCGUGUGGAAUUGGGUCUUCAGAAUGUUUCCAUGUGGAUUUCAAACGCCAGGUCAGGUCAUAGGGGCUGUGUGUGCUGCAUCAGGGGGCAUAGCACCCUCUUUCUCCUUAUAAAUGGAGGGACCCUGCCCCUGGGUCACGCCCAGUAGAAGGGCUUCCCCAGUGGAGUCCACACAUAAAGAUGCUAUGAGAUGCUCAUAUGUGGCAGAGGACUGUGCCAAGUGGAAAUAGCAUAGGUGUGGUGUCAGAAGCAGGUCUAUUUGGAGCCCAGACCUGGAGCUAAGGAUGCAUGACCUCAGAGGGUUUUAAGAAUGGAAUUGGCAACCACUGGGGGAGAGGGUGCAAGCUGGCCCCCAGAGACCAUAGUGCACCUGAUGGGCAGACACAUACUCCGCGGCAGAGCUCACAAACUACCCACCCAGAAAACACCCCUCUGUUUCGGUGCCAAGGAAGGAGAGGCAUUUUUCCUUUCAUACCUGCUCCAGCCCCCUGGAUGGAUCUCCCUAAGAAGAUGGUCCGAUCAGUUCACCCCACACUUGCUGGGUACAUCUUCACAUCUGGUGUCUUCAGCUUCGAUCGAACAGUCUGUGUACCUCACCUUCUCUCAGAGCCUUGGAACGCUUAUUUCUGUUUACUUCUCUGACCUGCAGACAGGGCUCCAGUUUAGAUUGUCCUGAGGCUAUAGGUGGGAGGACUUGGGGGUAGGUUUCUAUACCUGCCAUUGGGGGGGGCACUGAGUGCAGCACUCCUAGACCCCCAUGUCCUCUUCUGGGUGGGCAGCCAGGCCUCAGACCACCCCCUUCCCCAUCACAUUGUUAUCUUGUCAAACUUCUGAGCAGGUGGUUUUGCCAGGACACAAGGGCCUUUCUAGAAGGAUAUAGGAUAAAGCAGGAGGAGCUGGUCACAGAAACGGGGUCCGUUGUUUGGGAGUUUCCUCCUCUUCCCACACUAUCUCCCCAUGGAUAGAGGACCUGGCUGUUCAUCUAAGAUUUUUUUUCUCCGGUAGCAUCAAGUGGUUGUGGAAUGAUGCUUCUCUGUUAAGGAGCCCAUUUUCGGGUAGCUCUGGGUCUGGGUGGUCCAUAGGACCAGUUCUGGUCAAUGAGAGGAGAGAAGAGGUGAUGUGUGAUGCUUUAGAGCACAGAUGAUGGAGAAGCAGAACCCUUGGUCACCCACCUGCUGGCUGCAUGCUGAGGCCUGUGUGACCCCUAGGAACAGGGGACCCCCAAGAUGGAAGAGGUCUGGAUCUCUGGGUUUCCACAUGCAAGGAAGCUGCUGUAGACUUAAAGAUAAUGCACAACGUGUGAGCUGAGAGUUAAAUUUUAUUUGGGGCAAAAUGAGGACUGCAGCCCAGGAGACAGCACCUUAGAUAGCUCUGAGAAAUUGCUCCAAAGUGGUAGGGGGAAGGACAGUAUACAUGUGAUCUGGGCGAAGGGGGAAUGCAUGCAAUCAAGCGCUUAUUUUUUUUGUAGAAAGUUUCUGUUGGUCUCAUGAAGCUUCUGCUGGUCAUGAGAAGGAUUCUCUACCAUGAAGGAUUUCAGUGCUUUUCUGGAUACGAGGAAAUACAAGGAUUGGGCUCAUAAAAUCGGCUUCUGAGAAUAUCUAACAAUCUGAAGAUCUGUCCUGACCUGCCCCACCCCUCCACCCUGAACUCCUUCAGGGAGUGUUGAAGGUCAGCAGCUGAGCUGCAGCAGCGGAUGAUUUAAUCCUUGUGGAGUAAUUGACAAGCACCCACGGCAAGUGCCAUUUUGUAGUUGACACUGCCCCCAGCUAGGACCACUUGCAUUGAUUGUUUUUGUGAGUAGGACGUAAAUGCGUGUUACUUUAAACCCCACGUUUCAGUGCCUUCCUUGGUAAAGAGGCUAGUUUUAUUCUAACACCCUUGCAGAAGGAAAUGGCAGCCCACUCCAGUGUUCUUGCCUGGAGAAUCCCAGGAACAGGGGAGCCUGGUGGACUGCCAUCUAUGGGGUCGCACAGAGUCGGACAUGACUGAAGCGACUUAGCAGAAUCCUGCUGCUGCUACCCCCUUCAAUUACUUCCUUGUCCAUCAGCUCCUCCUCUUACUCCCCACUACCUGAUUCAUCUUAUCAUUGUUGUGUAGGGUAGGAGGUUGAGAGCCCUGUUACUGGUGCCACCAGGCUAUUGGUUCAUCAGGAACCAUGGGAUCCAUACGGAUCUGUGAUCAACAGGAAAAAUGGCAUUUAGGUCCUACACUCUUUAACUCUUUUUGCAGCAACAAUUGCUGUGCAUGUAAAAUUUCUUUAGUAUAGUAAUUUUAGAUGUAACUCAUAGUAUAAUAUAUAUUCUUUAUAGAAUUUUUUAAAAAUAAAAAAUAUAAUUAAAAAUUUUUAAUUAUCCAUAAACAUACCUCACCACAGUCCUCAUGGGUAACAUUUGAUAGUUACAGCUUGAAUCUUACUUUACUAGGAUAUUGAGAAAGUGUGGCUUGAGUGCAUUUGGUGGGUAGUUUUCAUUUUCAUCUUUAUGCUUAGCUGUUUUCUUUUUUAAGCAAUGAAUACACUAGGUGUGUAAUUCUAAAAGAUGAUUCAAGCACAUCAAUUAUUAUCCUUUGAGAUAAACUUACACAAGUAGAAUUUCUGAUUCUGAAGAUAAACAUGUUUGUAAGGCAUUUGAUAAAUACUUUCAUAUUGUGUCCAUUACUUCUCACAUAAGCAGUACACAUGAUUUGCCUUCUCCUCUUGGAGAAGGAAAUGGCAACCCACUCCAGUAUUCUUGCCUUGAGAAUCCCAUGGGUGGAGGAGCCUGGUGGGCUGCAGUCCAUAGGGUUGCAAAGAGUUGAACGUGACUGAAGUGAUUUGGCGCAAAGAGUCGGACACAACUGAGCGACUUCACUCUUGUCUUGAAAGCCUUGGGGAAAUUGUUUCCAUUUGUUAUUAUUUAUUAGAGAAAAGUUAGAAAAUAAAGAAGUGUAAAAACUAAGGAAGUAGUAAUUAAGUUACAGCAGGCAGGAAGCUAGGUAUUAGCAGAGAAAUGGGGGCAGGGCCAGGUGGCAGGAAACCACCCGGCUUGUAAACAUGCAGGUCCUUGGGCAGACGAAGGAAAGCAGGAACCCUCAGAACCCACAGGGAAUCACGCAUUUUGGGUUAUAAGGGUCCAAGUAGCAGACGAAGAGGUCUUCCCUGGUGGCUUAGAUGGUAAAGAAUCCACCUGCAAUGAGAGAGACCUGGGUCCUAUCCCUCCGUUGCAAAGAUCCCCUGGAAGAGAGCAUGGCAACCGACUCCAGUAUUCUUGCCUGGAGAAUCUGCAUGGACAGAGGAGCCUGGCAAAGAGUCAGACGUGACUGAGUGACUAAGCAUAGCACAGCGCAGCAAAGAAUGCUUUUGAAUUAUGGUGCUGGAGAAGAAUCUUGAGAGACCCUUGGACUGCAGGGAGAUCAAAUCAGUCCAUCCUAAAGGAAAUCAGUCCUGAAUAUUCAUUGGAAGGACUGUUGCUGAAGCUGAGGCUCCAAUACUUUGGCAGCCUGAUGCGAAGAGCUGACUCAUUGGAAAAGAUCCUGAUGGCUGGGAAAGAUUGAAGGCAGAAGGAGAAGGAGGCAGCAGAGAAUGAGAUGGUUAAAUAGUAUCACUGACUCAAUGGACAUGAAUCUGGGCAGGCUCCUCUGUCCAUGGGAUUUCCCAGGCAAGGAUACUGGAGUAUUCUUAACCUCUCUGCUUCAUCUCCAAAUUCUUUCAUGCUGAAGAACCUCAAAUUCAGCAGCAAUAAUUAGUGACAAAUGCAUUCAAAGAUAAUCAGUGCUGAAAUUUUAGUGAUGCUCUUUAAUCUAGAAAUAUACAGUAUGAAGUGUGCACAUGUAGCUUUGUGUGCACAUGUGCAUGUCCAUGAGAAUCACACAGGCCAAUGCUGGUCCCCUAGACCCAGAGAUUGGGAGCGGCAAACCACAAUUUUCAUUCCUUGUGGGUGUUGGAACCUCCUGGCUGAGAGGCCUAGUCCUGCUUGUCACCCCAAGUCAGGAGAGCUGGCUCCAAACCCUGGCUUUGUGACUCUGAGUUGUAAGACUAUCAAUAAAUCAUUCAAACUUGGAGCCAUUUUUUUCCCUCUUGUUCUUGGGUAGAUGAUUUUAAUGGUUUUUUCCAACUGUAGCUUUGUAUGAUUUUAUGUUUUAAGCAGGGCAACCCCCUUUGAUGACAGCACUCUUCUUUAAAGCUCCAAACUUGAAACAUCUCUGUCACGCCACAAUCCUCUGCUACAGAGAUAUGUGUGUUUGCAACCCUCGACUGGUGCCAGAGAAGCAUCUUUUAAAAUGAUACCCCAAGGGUGGGAUGGGAACAGAAGGUUAUUAAGAGCAUGGAAAAACAAGUUAAUCACUUCUGCUGUGUGAAUGUGCUUCAGCAUUCACCAAUUCCAAAGCUCGGCAAAGGAUAGUUCACUGGUGGUGGUUUUCUUCUGUUCUCGCUAUAGCUUGGGAGUACAAACAAAUCUAUUAAGUGAUUUAGUAAUUUGAAAGAGCUUUAACAAAUCCAUUUAGUUAAGUGAGGAGGACCCAUAUGUAAAGGCUUGGUUUCAGAUUUCUGUUGGCUGCGAAUCUUUCCAUUAAAAGAAAACACAUCUCCAGGAGGCUUAAAUAUUAAAAGGGAGUGUAUUGGCUCAGAUAACUCAACAGUCCAGAGAUCAAGAAGACAUCAGGCAUGGUUUGAUCCAGACCUAAGCUUAUCAACCAAGAUUUUAUGGCUUUCCAUCCUUCUCUGUGCUCUCUUUGUGUUAAAGCUGGUUCCUCCUGUAGUUACAAGAUGAGGUCUAAUACCUCCCUCAGUCCAUGUGCUUCAUCACCUAAUUCCAGUAGGAAAGAGCAUGACUUUUCCCAACCUUAAAGUUUCCUUUGGAC
ensembl:lncRNA